CUGGAACUGUAUCCGCAAGGACACAACCCCAGAUACCCUUUAUGAACUUAUUCUUAUAUCGUUGCCUCGGCGCUGAGCUAGGGGCUUCUUUCCAAGGAGCUCUCCCAUAGUCUCUCGGGACGAUAGAGCAAGCCCGCCGGCGGCCCUUCUAAACUCUUAUUUUUAUUACAUAUCUCUUCUAAGUUAUUCAAAACAAAAUGAAUCA
rnacentral:misc_RNA from 1 species